UACGAAGGUGGCAAGCGUUACUCGGAAUUACUAGGCGUAAAGCGCGGGUAGGUGGUUUGAUAAGUCUGCUGUGGAAGCUCCCGGCUCAACUGGGAGAGGUCAGUAGAUACUAUCAGGCUAGAGUGUAGGAGAGGGUACUGGAAUUCCCGGUGUAGCGGUGAAAUGCGCAGAGAUCGGGAGGAACACCAAAGGCGAAAGCAAGUACCUGGACUAUUACUGACACUGAGCCGCGAAAGCUAGGGGAGCAAACAGG
rnacentral:misc_RNA from 1 species